AGUGAACGCUGGCGGUAGGCCUAACACAUGCAAGUCGAACGGCAGCACAGUAAGAGCUUGCUCUUACGGGUGGCGAGUGGCGGACGGGUGAGGAAUACAUCGGAAUCUACUUUUUCGUGGGGGAUAACGUAGGGAAACUUACGCUAAUACCGCAUACGACCUACGGGUGAAAGCAGGGGAUCUUCGGACCUUGCGCGAUUGAAUGAGCCGAUGUCGGAUUAGCUAGUUGGCGGGGUAAAGGCCCACCAAGGCGACGAUCCGUAGCUGGUCUGAGAGGAUGAUCAGCCACACUGGAACUGAGACACGGACCAGACUCCUACGGGAGGCAGCAGUGGGGAAUAGUGGACAAUGGGCGCAAGCCUGAUCCAGCCAUACCGCGUGAGUGAAGAAGGCCUUCGGGUUGUAAAGCCCUCUGAUUGGGAAAGAAAAGCAGCAGCCUAAUACCCUCCUGUCCUGACGGUACCCAAAGAAUAAGCACCGGCUAACUUCGUG
rnacentral:rRNA from 1 species